rnacentral:misc_RNA from 1 species
GUUUGCACAAUUAUGGCAAGUUUAGUUUCUUUGUAUUUUAUGCAAGAGUUUUUUCCUCGACUUGUAAUUUGGGUUUACAUUUUUGUGUACUGCUGUAGGUGUGCACUUUGUUACUAUAACUAUGAUGCUAUAAGUAGGUUGAGUUCUUGAUUAGUUAUUUUCUUAAGAUUCUCUGUAGUCAUUUUCUUACUAAUGGUAUUUAUCAUUAACCUAAUGACUUUAACUUAGGCUUUCUUUAUGUUUUCA